UGUAAGAUGGGAUAUCUAUGACAUUUAAUUUUAAACGUGCGUGAUCUGAUUAUAUCAUCGCGUCUGUUUUUAUGCAAUAUUAAAAGAACCUGGUAAAACCAUGGUUCUUUUUUU
rnacentral:sRNA from 1 species